rnacentral:tRNA from 11 species
CUUAGCUCAGCUGGAUAGAGCAACGGCCUUCUAAGCCGUAGGUCACAGGUUCGAACCCUGUAG